rnacentral:rRNA from 1 species
AUUGAACGCUGGCGGCAUGCUUUACACAUGCAAGUCGAACGGUAACAGGGUGCUUGCACCGCUGACGAGUGGCGAACGGGUGAGUAAUGCGUCGGAACGUGCCGAGUAGUGGGGGAUAACGCAGCGAAAGUUGUGCUAAUACCGCAUACGUACUGAGGGAGAAAGUGGGGGACCUUCGGGCCUCACGCUAUUCGAGCGGCCGCCGACUGAUUAGCUAGUAGGUGAGGUAAAGGCUCACCUAGGCGACGAUCAGUAGCGGGUCUGAGAGGAUGAUCCGCCACACUGGGACUGAGACACGGCCCAGACUCCUACGGGAGGCAGCAGUGGGGAAUUUUGGACAAUGGGCGAAAGCCUGAUCCAGCCAUGCCGCGUGUCUGAAGAAGGCCUUCGGGUUGUAAAGGACUUUUGUCAGGGAGGAAAUCCCUAGUGCUAAUAACACUGGGGGAUGACAGUACCUGAAGAAUAAGCACCGGCUAACUACGUGCCAGCCGCCGCAGUAA